UACAUGUGGGGCAAGCGUUGUUCGGAAUUACUGGGCAUAAAGGGUGCGUAGGCGGCUUGUUAAGUCAGGGGUGAAAUCCCACGGCCCAACCGUGGAACUGCCUUUGAUACUGGCGAGCUUGAGUGCGUGAGGGGUAACCGGAACGAGUAGUGUAGCGGUGAAAUGCGUAGAUAUUACUCGGAAGGCCAAAGGCGAAGGCAGGUUACUGGUACGCAACUGACGCUGAGGCACGAAAGCGUGGGGAGCAAACAGG
rnacentral:rRNA from 1 species